CUACCAUGGCGUUUACGGGUAACGGAGGAUUAGGGUUCGAUUCCGGAGAGGGAGCCUGAGAAACGGCUACCACAUCUAAGGAUGGCAGCAGGCGCGUAAAUUACCCAAUCCUGAUUCAGGGAGGUAGUGACAAGAAAUAACGGACCGGGGUCUUCGGACUUCGGGACCGCAAUGAGCCGAAUUUACACCCCUUAGCGAGAACCGAUUGGAGGGCAAGUCUGGUGCCAGCAGCCGCGGUAAUUCCAGCUCCAAUAGCGUAUAUUAAAGUUGUUGCAGUUAAAAAGCUCGUAGUUGGAUUUCUGGGAGGGUGCUAAUGCCCGCCGUAGCGCGCGCGCAGCAGCGCCCUUCCAUCCUUCUGUUAACGCCUCUUGGCAUUCAUUUGCUGGUGGCGGGCUCAGAUAUUUUACCUUGAGAAAAUUAGAGUGUUUCAGGCAGGCUAGGCCGGAAUAUAUUAGCAUGGAAUAAUGGAAUAGGACUAUGGUCUCUUUGUUGGUUUGAGGGACUGCAGUAAUGAUUAAUAGGGAUAGUUGGGGGCAUUAGUAUUUAAUUGUCAGAGGUGGAAUUCUCAGAUUUGUUAAAGACUAACUUAUGCGAAAGCAUUUGCCAAGGAUGUUUUCAUUAAUCAA
rnacentral:rRNA from 1 species